rnacentral:tRNA from 1 species
UGGGGUGCAGCUCAGAGGUAAAGCACUUGCCCAGCAUGCAUGAGGCCCUGGGUUCCAUCCCCAGCACUAUGG